rnacentral:rRNA from 1 species
GGUCGGUUUGGCCGGAUUUCACACAGGUGUUGCAUGGCUGUCGUCAGCUCGUGUCGUGAGAUGUCGGGUUAAGUCCCGCGACGAGCGCAACCCUCAUCCUUAGUUACCAUCAGGUUAUGCUGGGGACUUUAAGGAAACUUCCAGUGAUAAACUGGAGGAAGGUGGGGAUGAUGUCAAGUCAUCACGGCCCUUAUGGAGUGGGCUACACACGUGCUACAAUGGUGAUUACAAUGGGCUGCAAGGUCGCAAGGUUGAGCUAAUCCUAAAAAUCAUCUCAGUUCGGAUUGCUCCCCGCAACUCGAGAGCAUGAAGUUGGAAUCGCUAGUAAUCGUGGAUCAGCGUGCCACGGUGAAUACGUUCUCGGGUCUUGUACACACUGCCCGUCACGCCAUGGUAAUUGGUUUCACUCGAAGCU